UAAUACGUAGGGUGCGAGCGUUAAUCGGAAUUACUGGGCGUAAAGCGUGCGCAGGCGGUUUUGUAAGUCAGAUGUGAAAUCCCCGGGCUUAACCUGGGAACUGCGUUUGAAACUACAAGGCUAGAGUGUAGCAGAGGGGGGUGGAAUUCCACGUGUAGCAGUGAAAUGCGUAGAGAUGUGGAGGAACACCGAUGGCGAAGGCAGCCCCCUGGGUUAACACUGACGCUCAGGCACGAAAGCGUGGGGAGCAAACAGGAUUAGAUACCCUGGUAGUCCACGCCCUAAACUAUGUCAACUAGUUGUCGGGCCUUAACGGGCUUGGUAACGCAGCUAACGCGUGAAGUUGACCGCCUGGGGAGUACGGU
rnacentral:rRNA from 1 species